rnacentral:rRNA from 1 species
UACGAAGGGGGCUAGCGUUGCUCGGAAUCACUGGGCGUAAAGGGCGCGUAGGCGGACAGCUUAGUCAGAGGUGAAAGCCCAGGGCUCAACCUUGGAAUUGCCUUUGAUACUGGCUAUCUUGAGUUCGGGAGAGGUGAGUGGAAUGCCGAGUGUAGAGGUGAAAUUCGUAGAUAUUCGGCGGAACACCAGUGGCGAAGGCGACUCACUGGCCCGAUACUGACGCUGAGGCGCGAAAGCGUGGGGAGCAAACAGG